CUCAUUUGUCGGCUUCUCGGCUCUACGGUUUAAAUUUAUGUUACUCGAAACAUUAUGCGUCUGGAAGUUCACGUCUCGUAACGGUAAUAUUGAAAUUUAAAAAUUGUUUUCAAAUUUUCUUUUGCACUUCUAACAGUAGAGCCCUGUGGUAUUCAAUGAAGUCGCUGUCGGACUCAGACGAGGAAGAAUUUGGAGAAUAUCAGAAAAAGCUGAGAGAAAGGGCUAACCGCAGCAUCCUGCAGCUGACUGACGUCCUCGGGGAUCCCAGCUCUGAAGCAGACAGUAUGGAUGCGGGGGGCGGCCAGCAGAGCGACAGCAUUGUGGGAGAAGAGUCCUGGCACUGGCUGCAGCAUAGUGACGCAGUCAAUCAGCUGAGAUCAUUACUGUUAAAGCAGGAGAAAGAAGCAAACCUGCACAGCACAGCGAAGGGGAAGCCCAUGUCUGAGCGGAAGUCCUCUGAUGACGCCAGCUUACCCGCUGUUCAGGAUCUGGUACCCAUCCUCCACAACCAGUCCGAGUACAUCCGGCACCUGGAGGCCGAAGUCAAGUUCUGCAAGGAGGAGCUUGUGGGGGUGAAGCAGAGGAUCAGGGUGGUUGUCUUGGAGAAUGAGAAACUGCACAGAGAGCUGAAGUCCAAGGCGGUGGAGGACACGCUGAAGGACUACACCAUCCUGGACGCUCCGACGGAUGGUCCGGAACCGAUGGGCAGUACUCCCAAAGCAGACCGGGCUCAGCGCGGAGAGCAGGCUGCUGCAGCAGUGGCCCAGCAACUGGAUACUAACAAAUGGCAGAAUGAACUGGCACAGCUUAAGCUGCUGUAUCAAGCACAGACGCAGGCUUUGGAGACACAGGUGCUGUCGCUGAGGAGGGAGCUGACGACCUCUCAGAAGGAGACAGAGGAGGUGAAAGGUCGUCUCCGGAGGCAGGAGGCAGCGUCCUCGUCUGGCGGCGGGUUGGCGCGGGUUGGCGGCCUGUGCCUGCAGUGUGCCCAGCAGGAGGCACAUGGCAGUGUCCAUGCCCAGGCUGUCGAGAGACUCACCAAGGAGCGGGAUGAGCUGCUGGGGGCGCUGUCCUCGCUGCGAGCGACACACAGUGAGAUGCAGCAGCGGGAACGCAGCGCCUACCAGCAGGUGAAGCAGGCCGUGGAGAUGGCAGAGGAGGCCAGCUUGGAGAAAGCCAGGGCCCAGGUGCAAUGUGAGCAGGUGCGUGGUGAGCUGGCCAGGCAGCGGGAGCGUCUGGAGAGAGAGCUGCUGGCCGAACAGGAGAGGCUCACCCUGGCUAGGGAGGGGGUACGCAAGGAAGUCCGCAAGGAGAAGGAAGAGCUGGCAUGGAAGGUGACAGACCUGUCCCAGAAGGUGGCUGAGCUGCAGGGCCAGCUGGACUGGGGGGAGCGGGAAAGGAGCUCUCUGUCAGCGCAGCUGGAGGAGGCACUGAAGAAGCUCGGUUCCCAGGAGGAGGAGAGCAGCAAGGUGUGCGCAGAUCUGCGGCUGCAAGUGACCCAGUGCCAGCUGCGCAGGGAGGAGGCAGAGAGGGCCCUGCAGGAGCACAGCACUCGCAGCAGCAGGCAGCUGGAGCUGGCCGCUCAGGAAGCCGCGAAGCUGGCGGCGGAGCUGAGUGGCUGCGGGCAGCGCCUGGAGGCGGCUCAGCGGGCGGCAGGCGUGGCCAGGGCGGAGGCGCUGGGCCUGACGGAGCGACUGGGCCGCGUGCAGCACCAACUGCACCUCACUAGAAAGGAGAAGGAGAUGGCUGAGCGUAGCCGGAACGAGGAGGUGGUCGUCCUGACCUCCCGGGUGGAGGAGUGCAAGCGGGAGUUGAUGCAGAGGCUGUGUGAGGUGGAGGAGGACCAUCAGAGGAGCGUUGGGGAACUUGAGUCUCUGCUGAGCUCCCAGAAUUCCCUGAUCGGCCGGCUGAGGGAGGAGUGCCACGGCCUGGGGGCCCAGCUGGAGGAGGUGGCCGAGAGCAGCAGGGUGGAGGUAGAUCACCUGUCCCAGGAGAACCAGCACCUGCAAGAGAGCGUGGAGAAGUUGAGGGGGCGGUGCCAGGAGAUGGAGGAGCAGUGUGUACAGCACGGCAGGAUACACCAGCGGAUGAAGCAGAGGCUGCAGCAGCUGGACCAGCACAGUCAGGCCAGCGCUCAGCAGGUGCUGGAGCUGCUCAACAGGCAGAACCAGCUAAUGCAGGAGCGACAGGCGCUGAGCGAGGAGAUGCGGAGCCUGCGUGUGCGGGCGCCUGCAGCUGCAAGACCUCCCACCUGAUGGGAGCGGCAGCCUACGUCCCCCCCCCCGCGGCCCCUAAUCGGGGGCGGCAGCAAAACCCCUGUGAGUGGCAGGAUCAAACCCAUUGAUUUACGGAAAAGACAGGGGGUGCGACGGGGCCUGGAACUGCCCGGGCUGUGCAGCGUAGAUGACGGUGACCCCCCAGGACUGGGGAAACGCUCAGGGACUUGCUGUGUUCAGGGAGCGGUGAGCGUGUGUGAGAGAGACAAACACUUCUGAAUGGUAGCAGCUGCCCGUCAUGCGCGUUCAACUGGGUCACAGAAGACAGCGGCACACAGACACAGGCCUGAAGCAGAUUGACAUAAUGUUUUAUUUCAGCUGUCUGUAGGAAGGAAGGUAAUGUGCACCCUAUCAUAUACAUUUAUGUACAUGUAAAAAUACUAAGGAUGUGCAGUGUACAAAAAAACAGUUUCCUGCAGAUU